AGUGAACGCUGGCGGCGUGCUUAACACAUGCAAGUCGAACGAGAACGGAUUAUAGCUUGCUAUAAUUGUCAGCUAAGUGGCGCACGGGUGAGUAAUGUAUAGAUAACCUGCCCUCUAGAAAGGAAUAACAGUUGGAAACGACUGCUAAUGCCCUAUAUGCCUUUAAUACAUAAGUAUGCAAGGGAAACGCUUUGGUGCUAGAGGAUGGGUCUGUAUGGUAUCAGUUAGUUGGUGAGGUAAUGGCUCACCAAGACUAUGACGCCUAACUGGUUUGAGAGGAUGAUCAGUCACACUGGAACUGAGACACGGUCCAGACUCCUACGGGAGGCAGCAGUGGGGAAUAUUGCACAAUGGACGAAAGUCUGAUGCAGCAACGCCGCGUGGAGGAUGACACAUUUCGGCGCGUAAACUCCUUUUAUAUAGGAAGAUAAUGACGGUACUAUAUGAAUAAGCACCGGCUAACUCCGUGCCAGCAGCCGCGGUAA
rnacentral:rRNA from 1 species